GGGAAGCGGCGAACGGGUGAGUAACACGUAUGUGAUCUGCCCAUCAGACGGGGACAACGAUUGGAAACGAUCGCUAAUACCGGAUAGGACGAAAGUUUAAAGAUGCUCCUGGCAUCACUGAUGGAUGAGCCUGCGGCGCAUUAGCUAGUUGGCGGGGUAACGGCCCACCGUGGCUACGAUGUCUAGGGGUUCUGAGAGGAAGGUCCCCCACACUGGAACUGAGACACGGUCCAGACUCCUACGGGAGGCAGCAGUGAGGAAUAUUGGUCAAUGGGAGAGAUCCUGAACCAGCCAAGCCGCGUGAGGGAAGACGGCCCUAUGGGUUGUAAACCUCUUUUGUCGGAGAACAAAACCCGGGACGAGUCCCGGACUGCGUGUAUCCGAAGAAAAAGCAUCGGCUAACUCCGUGCCAGCAGCCGCGGUAAUACGGAGGAUGCGAGCGUUAUCCGGAUUUAUUGGGUUUAAAGGGUGCGUAGGCGGUCCGUUAAGUCAGCGGUAAAAUUGCGGGGCUCAACCCCGUCGAGCCGUUGAAACUGGCAGACUUGAGUUGGCGAGAAGUACGCGGAAUGCGCGGUGUAGCGGUGAAAUGCAUAGAUAUCGCGCAGAACUCCGAUUGCGAAGGCAGCGUACCGGCGCCAGACUGACGCUGAGGCACGAAAGCGUGGGGAUCGAACAGGAUUAGAUACCCUGGUAGUCCACGCAGUAAACGAUGAAUGCUGGUUGUCCGGG
rnacentral:rRNA from 1 species